UAGGAUACUGCUUGGAAUGGUGAUCCUGAUGGGUCCCUUCCAACCCAGGAUAUUUUAUAAUUCUACUUUAUGAAGGUUGAAAGCAUAACUGAAAGGAAAGGUGUGGUGGAGGCCCUUCUGCCUGGCUGAGGGAAGGCACUGCAAGUGGAGGUGUUACAGCUCUGUAAAACCAUUCAGGAAUGCAGCAGUAAUGCCAGAAUAUGGGAGUUCUCCAGGUUUUCUCAUUGGCAAACCAUUGCAUCAUAUGUGGGAAGAGAAAGCUGAACAUCAAAGAUUUGCUCAAAGACUUUCAGGCUUGUUGAGCAUGACCCUUUCAUGAGAAGAAGCAUCUGAGAAGCUAUAUCAUUAUGGCUGCUUUUGGGAAUGCUAUGACGUCAAAGUUUAUAGGGAAGAUGCUGAUGGUGUGUAUCUUGAUGAACAAAUGAUUGCUAAACAUCCAAUCAGCCGCCUUCUUUUGCCAGCUGCUUUUCCAAUAUGACUACCAGAGGAUAUUCCUACCAUAUGCUCAGCAGUUUCUUUUAAUUUCACUUUAUCAGAGCAUAUUUCUGGAGGCUUUGCCAUGUAUGAUACUUUCAGAGUAGAAAAAAAUUAUUGAAUUUACAAUAGAUGUCCAAUAAAAGAAUCUUGGGUUGCAAGGUGGCAUUGAGCAAGCUACCUAUUGUGAAGCUGGUAAAAAACCACACUCAAUUAUACUAUGCUGCAUCUUAAUAUCUUCAAGAUGCAGCAAAACCUUAUUUAGAAUGAAUUUGUUAUUGAUAUUGGUCAGAAGAGCAGGUGGAGUAUUGCUGCUGUAUCCUGUGGUUUGGUGCAUGAAAUAUCAGUAUUAUCACAUUCUGCUAUUUUUUUUUUUCUCUUUGUCCCCCUGCAAUUAGGAUUUCUACAUUUGUAAAAGGUGGCUUUUAUACUAGGGUGUCCUUGGAUUUUGGACGCUGAUGGUGGAAUGCAUAUAUACCUAGAAUGCUUACAACUAUGUUAUGUAUUCUUUUUCAGAGUUCUGGUAAUUACUUAUCUAGAUCUGCAAA